ncrna:unclassified sequences S4-Flavobacteria ribosomal protein leader
UUUCAUCGAAGGAUGUUGACCUUAAUUCAUGAUAA